UACGAAGGGGGCUAGCGUUGCUCGGAAUCACUGGGCGUAAAGCGCACGUAGGCGGAUUCUUAAGUCAGGGGUGAAAUCCUGGAGCUCAACUCCAGAACUGCCUUAGAUACUGGGAAUCUCGAGUCCGGGAGAGGUGAGUGGAACUGCGAGUGUAGAGGUGAAAUUCGUAGAUAUUCGCAAGAACACCAGUGGCGAAGGCGGCUCACUGGCCCGGUACUGACGCUGAGGUGCGAAAGCGUGGGGAGCAAACAGG
rnacentral:rRNA from 1 species